UUGCCAUGAUUCACCUCUCCAUCAGGUGGGUUAGUGGAAGUGUCGGCCGGCCCUACGCCGGCCGACGCGCCU
rfam:Xanthomonas campestris pv. vesicatoria complete genome